rnacentral:tRNA from 1 species
CAGGAUGUAGCUUAGUGGUAGAGUGCUUCCUUAGCAUGCAUAAGGCCCUGGGUUCUAUCCCCAGCAUCAUAA